GCGCACCAGUCGCGAAACCUUCGCAGUGCGGGAAACCGCGACGAGGGGACUCCCAGUGCCUACGCUCAGCGUAGGCUGUUCCCGAGCCUAGAAAGCUCGGGGAGUAAGGGCUGGGUAAGACGGGUGCCAGCCGCCGCGGUAAUACCCGCAGCCCGAGUGGUGGCCACUAUUAUUGGGCCUAAAGCGUCCGUAGCCGGCCCGGUAAAUGCCUGGGUAAAUCGUGAGGCCUAACCUCACGAAUUCCGGGUAGACUGCCGGGCUAGGGACCGGAGGAGGGAGAGGGGUACUCCAGGGGUAGGGGUGAAAUCCUGUAAUCCCUGGAGGACCACCGGUGGCGAAGGCGCUCUCCUAGGACGGGUCCGACGGUGAGGGACGAAAGCCAGGGGAGCGAACCGGAUUAGAUACCCGCGUAGU
rnacentral:rRNA from 1 species